rnacentral:rRNA from 1 species
UACGGGGGGGGGCAAGCGUUGUUCGGAAUUACUGGGCGUAAAGGGCUCGUAGGUGGCCAACUAAGUCAGACGUGAAAUCCCUCAGCUUAACUGGGGAACUGCGUCUGAUACUGGAUGGCUUGAGUUUGGGAGAGGGAUGCGGAAUUCCAGGUGUAGCGGUGAAAUGCGUAGAUAUCAGGAGGAAUACCGAUGGCGAAGGCAGGUCUCUGGGCUGACACUGACGCUCAUGCACGAAAGCGUGGGGAGCAAACAGG